rnacentral:rRNA from 1 species
AGCAGCCGCGGUAAUUCCAGCUCCAAUAGCGUAUAUUAAAGUUGCUGCAGUUAAAAAGCUCGUAGUUGAAUUUCGGGACCAUCAUGUCGGUCGUGCCUCGGUACGUACUGGCAUUGUUGGUUUCUACCUUCUGACGAACCAUGAUGUCAUUUAUUUGGUGUCGUGGGAAAUCAGGACUGUUACUUUGAAAAAAUUAGAGUGUUUAAAGCAGGCUCACGCUUGAAUACAUUAGCAUGGAAUAAUGAAAUAGGACGUUUGAUUCUAUUUUGUUGGUUUCUAGGAUCGACGUAAUGAUUAAUAGGGAUAGUUGGGGGCAUUAGUAUUCAAUUGUCAGAGGUGAAAUUCUUGGAUUUAUUGAAGACUAACUACUGCGAAAGCAUUUGCCAAGGAUGUUUUCAUUAAUCAAGAACGAAAGUUAGGGGAUCGAAGACGAUCAGAUACCGUCGUAGUCUUAACCAUAAACUAUGCCGACUAGGGAUCGGAUGAUGUUAAUUUUUAAUGACUCAUUCGGCGUCCG